rnacentral:lncRNA from 1 species
AUGUGCUACAAAUCCAUCCUGGUGAUGAGGUCCAUCCCAGAAAUCCUGGAAAAGACCCACGACAACAGCUCCCUGGCCAUCUCCCGACACCUCAUUGAGGAAAGCACUUCAUCCAGCACCAGUGGCUCCUCUUCAGACAACGAAAACUCCAAUUUCCCCCAAAAGAGGCACUUUGGCUCCACCCCCGAGCUGCACUUGCCCGUAUUUGAUGCCCCGAGCCAUCCUGAGCCUCUGAAACAUGCAAGUGAACGGGAGCACCCCAAAGCCUCCAUCCCUCCAGUGAAACCCAUGAGGAGGAAAUAUGCCUCAGUGAAGGCUGAGGUGGGGGACAGAUCACCCACAGAAAGCAAAGAGCUCAUGACGAGUGUCUUACAGGAGAAAGAGGAGAGGCUCCUUCCCAGCCUUCAGGCAGAGACAUCCCAAAGAAGCUCUGCUGAGCCUUCAUCCCUGAGGGCUUCCACAGAAAGCACAUCACCUGUGAAAGAAAAACCAGGCACAUCUUCAUCUGAAAAGGACAGAACUGAAGAGGCAGGGGAUGGGACAGAAAAGCCAUCAGCCUUUGUUCCCAGGCAGAGUGUCAUCAAAAGCACUUUCUACAGCCAGGCAAGUGAGCUGCCUGCAAGGCCACCUUCCUCACCAGGAAGGGAGUUCAGGAGGCACCUGGACAGAGCCAGAAGGACUUUCCGAAAGGCUGGCUAUUCAAAGGUGCCCCUCAGUGGCCUCCGUGAGCCUCUCCUCGAGCAGUUUGAGCUGGAGGAAGAAGAAGAAGGAGAUGAUCGCAAAGAAAGUCUACUGGGAUCCUUGACCAAAUCGGCGUCCUUUGACACUGCCAGGAAGCCACCACACCCUGCCAUUGCUGGGGCCAGCCGCAGCCGGUCCCUGGAUGACUACAGGCUCAGAGCCUCCAGAUCCUUGAGGGAACAAGACAUUCUGGAGGAGGACUGUGAUGUGCUGUCCCAGGAAAGUUGCCCUGAAGGCAGCGAUCACUGUGAUGUUUCCGCAGGGCCCGGCAAGGGAUGUUCUGCAGACACAGCAGAGCAAGGGGUCAUCGGGAGAGACAGCAAGGAUUGCUCAGGAGAGAAGUCCUCUCCCUCCACACACUGUGAGGGGAAUGGGUGCCCACCUGCUCUUGUCCAACAGGUAGAGGGACUCCCAGUGUCACCCCACAGGAGUGAGAAUAGGAAGCGUUUGCUGAAGAAGUCAAAGGCCACUGAGAUUGAGGAGGACGUUGAAUGUUUGGAAGGCAAAAGGCGCAUUCCAAGUGCCCAGUGCUCUGAUGUAACAGCACCAUCAGCUCCAAAACAUGAGAGCAAGGAGGGUAAAUCUGCCUCUGGCCAUGCCUCUGACUCUCCUUUUCAGGAGGGCAAAGAGUCCAUUUCAACCCUCACACAGUCAGAGAGCACCCCAAAGUCAUCUCCUCUGAGUGAGGGGGGUGUGUGUCUGCCCCAAGAGUCUGCUCCCACCCACACCCACCAGGAUCUAACAGCUGGAAGCGUGCUUAUCAAAAGGACAGCCCCAGCCCCACCUUGGAAAGACAAA